rnacentral:pre_miRNA from 1 species
AGGAGGAACAGCAACAGGGGCAGUGGCCAGCUCUGGAGCCCUGGAUUCAGCCCCGGCAGUAACUCUGGAGCUCUCCGUCUGCAGGGCCUGGAGGCUCCGGGGCGGG